UACGGAGGGUGCGAGCGUUAUUCGGAAUUACUGGGCGUAAAGCGCGUGUAGGCGGCUUGACAAGUCUGAUGUGAAAGCCCUGGGCUCAACCUGGGAAGUGCAUUGGAAACUGUCAGGCUUGAGUAUCGGAGAGGAUGGGGGAAUUGCCGGUGUAGAGGUGAAAUUCGUAGAGAUCGGGAGGAAUACCAGUGGCGAAGGCGCCCAACUGGACGGUAACUGACGCUGAGACGCGAAAGCGUGGGGAGCAAACAGG
rnacentral:rRNA from 1 species